rnacentral:rRNA from 1 species
AACGAGACGGGAUGGAAUGACCCUUCGGGGGAAUGAAAUCCUAGAAAGUGGCGAACGGGUGAGUAACGCGUGGGUAACCUGCCCUAUGGAAAGGAAUAGCCUCGGGAAACUGGGAGUAAUGCCUUAUAAUAUACGAGAGUCGCAUGGCUUUUGUAUUAAACGCUCCGGUGCCAUAGGAUGGACCCGCGUCCCAUUAGCUAGUUGGUGAGAUAACAGCCCACCAAGGCAACGAUGGGUAACCGGUCUGAGAGGGCGAACGGUCACACUGGAACUGAGACACGGUCCAGACUCCUACGGGAGGCAGCAGUGGGGAAUAUUGCGCAAUGGGGGCAACCCUGACGCAGCAAUACCGCGUGAGUGAAGAAGGUUUUCGGAUCGUAAAGCUCUGUUAUUGGGGAAGAAAAAAGACGGUACCCAAGAAGAAAGUCCCGGCUAACUACGUGCCAGCAGCCGCGGUAAUACGUAGGGGACAAGCGUUGUCCGGAUUUACUGGGCGUAAAGGGCACGCAGGCGGUUUUUUAAGUCAGAUGUGAAAGGUACCGGCUCAACCGGUGACAUGCAUUUGAAACUGAAAGACUUGAGUAUUGGAGAGGCAAGUGGAAUUCCUAGUGUAGCGGUGAAAUGCGUAGAUAUUAGGAGGAACACCGGUGGCGAAGGCGGCUUGCUGGACA